ensembl:snRNA U6 U6 spliceosomal RNA
GUGCUCACUUCAGCAGCGCAUAAACUGGAAUUGGAAUAAUACUGAGAAGAUGAGCAUGGCUCCUGUGCAAGGAUGACAUGCAAAUUUGUGAAGUGUUCCAUAUUUCU